AGGGUACUGUGAUGAUAAAACCGAAAGUCCAUCUAAGAGCUCUUAAAAACACUGCUGCAAUGAUAAAGACUAUUAAACUGUCUAAUAAUUCGACCACCUAAAACAGAACAAAAUGAAAGUCCUAAUUUUUUGUUUUUACUUAAAUUCUUGUAAAUUUAUAUUUUUAUUAAUUUGAUAUUCCAUGAAAUAUCAUUCGAAUUUUAGCAUAUUAGAUUAUAGAAUGAAAUAUGUGAAAAAUAUCUUCAGUGAACCUUAGGAUCCAAAAGCUUCUCUCCCACAAGUUCUAUUUUUGGUACCCUAGCAAAUCCCAUUGCAAUAUGACAUAGAAAAAAUUUAAAUAAACUUGCAUAAAAAGAAUACCUUGCUCGAUAACUCAUAUGGAAACUUCACAACCUUUAUUAAAAAGAAUGAAUCAUAUUAUUACAGUUUCGUCUAUUUAAUCCCUUUAUUUCCAAAACCUCAAUCCAAGUUUUCAUUUAUCUUUGCAAAAAUUCAUCUUCCAAAUCACCACCAGUUGAACUUUUUUCCUGUACAGGAACCCUGUUGGAACCUGAAGAUGGUAUUUUGUGUUUUCUGCCACUAUUAAAGCGUUCUUCCAUCUCGGCCCAAAUGCGAUUUCGAGUUUCUUCGGUCUGUUCAGAUGUGCCUUCUGCGUAGAGUGAAACAUACUUUGUUAAAGGGGGGUAUUCCUAAAUAGGUUAGUAUCUUAGCCAAGUUGAUAGUUGAAAUGAAGUCGAAAAUACAAACAUACUUUAAUAUACAUAAGAUCAAUUUGACAUUUACGCAUCGAUUUCUCACACUGCUUGCGUUUCUCAUCAUCCAUAGUUUCAUCCUUCAAAGAUUUUUCCAAUUGUUUAAUACGUCGUUCUGCUUUUUUACGUUCUGAGAAAAUCAGUAAGCAAGUUCACUGAACAAAAAAUGCUGUUUUUAUAUAUGUUUCAUACCAAAAAAUCGAACUUU